UACGGGAGGCAGCAGUGGGGAAUAUUGCACAAUGGGCGCAAGCCUGAUGCAGCCAUGCCGCGUGUAUGAAGAAGGCCUUCGGGUUGUAAAGUACUUUCAGCGGGGAGGAAGGGAGUAAAGUUAAUACCUUUGCUCAUUGACGUUACCCGCAGAAGAAGCACCGGCUAACUCCGUGCCAGCAGCCGCGGUAAUACGGAGGGUGCAAGCGUUAAUCGGAAUUACUGGGCGUAAAGCGCACGCAGGCGGUUUUGUUAGUCAGAUGUGAAAUCCCCGGGCUCAACCUGGGAACUGCAUCUGAUACUGGCAAGCUUGAGUCUCGUAGAGGGGGUAGAAUUCCAGGUGUAGCGGUGAAAUGCGUAGAGAUCUGGAGGAAUACCGGUGGCGAAGGCGGCCCCUGGGACGAAGACUGACGCUCAGGUGCGAAAGCGUGGGGAGCAAACGAGGGAUUAGGAUACC
rnacentral:rRNA from 1 species